rnacentral:rRNA from 1 species
GACGAACGCUGGCGGCGUGCUUAACACAUGCAAGUCGAACGAUGAAGCCCAGCUUGCUGGGUGGAUUAGUGGCGAACGGGUGAGUAACACGUGGGCAACCUGCCCCAAACUCUGGGAUAACUCCUCGAAAGAGGUGCUAAUACCGGAUACGAACUAGACAGACAUCUGUACUAGUUGGAAAGUUUUUCGGUUUGGGAUGGGCCCGCGGCCUAUCAGCUUGUUGGUGAGGUAACGGCUCACCAAGGCUACGACGGGUAACCGGCCUGAGAGGGGGACCGGUCACACUGGGACUGGGACACGGCCCAGACUCCUACGGGAGGCAGCAGUGGGGAAUAUUGCGCAAUGGGCGAAAGCCUGACGCAGCGACGCCGCGUGAGGGAUGAAGGUCUUCGGAUCGUAAACCUCUUUCAGUAGGGACGAAGCGAAAGUGACGGUACCUAAAGAAGAAGCACCGGCUAACUACGUGCCAGCCGCCGCCGUAA